GUCUACGGCCAUACCACCCUGAACGUGCCCUAUCUCGUCUGAUGUCAGAAGCUAAGCAGGGGCGGGCCUGGUUAGUACUUGGAUGGGAGAAAAGAAGAAUGAGAAGAGAGGCUUGUUAUCGAAU
rfam:Felis catus isolate Cinnamon breed Abyssinian chromosome D4, whole genome shotgun sequence.